rnacentral:rRNA from 1 species
GACGAACGCUGGCGGCGUGCCUAAUACAUGCAAGUCGAGCGGAGUAAAAAGCGUGCUUGCACGGUUUUUAUUUAGCGGCGAACGGGUGAGUAACACGUAGGUAACCUGGCCAUAAGACAGGGAUAACGCACGGAAACGUGAGCUAAAGCCAGAUAGGCAUUUUCCACGCAUGAGGGAGAUGAGAAAGGCGGAGCAAUCUGCCGCUUAUGGAUGGACCUGCGUCGCAUUAGCUAGUUGGAGUGGUAAAGGCACACCAAGGCGACGAUGCGUAGCCGACCUGAGAGGGUGAGCGGCCACACUGGGACUGAGACACGGCCCAGACUCCUACGGGAGGCAGCAGUAGGGAAUCUUCCGCAAUGGACGAAGUCUGACGGAGCAACG